AUGUGUUUUCUUGCCCCAGGCCAGGUUGAGUGGCCCAAAAUGGAAGACUGUUGGCAACAGGUUACCCAUCGCAUAUUCCAUGAUAGCCAGCCUCUCGAGAUGAAUAUCAUGAAUCCCCAGAGACAACUGGACAAGUGGGCCUUGCGUGUACAGAUGGAACACCCAUGGCGCCAGAUUGAGUGGCCCAGGAUGGAAGACCAUUGGCAUCGGAGACCCAUCACAUAUUCCAUGACUCCCAGCCUGGAAAGUCAAGGUCUACGAGCCGCCACGGGCCACUGGACACGCGGCCCUUGGUGGUACAGGUGGAACACCAAUGGCUAUCCAGCAUGUGGCUCCCAGAGGGAUGGAAUGGCCAGGGUCACAUUGCCUUUGCUCCCUGGGGCAUCAGCGGCAACAGCAUGGAAGCUGAGAGUGACAACCUUGUGGUGUGUAGGUGCAUUUGGAGCGAAGGACAACAGUGGCAGAUUUAUGGACCAUCCAACAGUUUUCCUCUCCCAUAAUCAGUUCCUCUGUGGCGGAAUUCCAGAUCCACAAGUGACUGGAAGUGAUGUUAGAGAGAAGGGAUAUUUUGCUGCUUGGAAUUCCACUGCCACCCCCAAAGAAGUGCUGUUUUCGUCACUUGUAUGA
rnacentral:lncRNA from 1 species